GCGUCCAUAGUUCAACUGGAUAGAAUGACAGGUUUCGACCCGGUAGGUUGUGGGUUCGACUCCUACUGGGUCA
rnacentral:tRNA from 2 species